rnacentral:rRNA from 1 species
GACGGAGGAUGCAAGCGUUAUCCGGAAUGAUUGGGCGUAAAGCGUCCGCAGGUGGCAGUUCAAGUCUGCUGUCAAAGACCGGGGCUUAACUUCGGAAAGGCAGUGGAAACUGAACAGCUAGAGUAUGGUAGGGGCAGAGGGAAUUCCUGGUGUAGCGGUGAAAUGCGUAGAUAUCGGAAGGAACAUCAGUGGCGAAAGCGACUUCCUGGAUCAAUACUGACGCUCAUGUGCGAAAGCGUGGGGAGCAAACAGG